CCAUUGAGAAAUUCUUGUAGAGGAAGGUUAGAUACUGUUUUCCAAGAUCUUCUGUUCUAUAUUGUUUGAUGCUCUCUUUUCUUUCCCUUUUUCCUACGAGUUUGAAAAAGUAAUCUUGCAUAAUUAUGGAUCCUGCACAUUUUCUAUCUUUUGUGACAUUUUUUUUUCAGGCAAGAAAACACUUAUUGUCAAUUAGAUUUGCUUCGAAUGCCUGGCAGCUUUGUCAAUGAAUGGUUUGAAAACUUGAGUUCCUUAGUCCCCAAUGUGGACACAUGUCCCAUCUUCUAAAGCUUUAUCGAAUUUUCUUUGCUUGAUUUUUCCAAAUCAGCGCUGUAGGAUUUUUCACUAAUUUUUCUAGCAGGUUCAUUGAAAUUGAAUGUUGACUCCA
rnacentral:misc_RNA from 1 species